CGGUGUGUAGCGCAGCCAGGUCAGCGUACUUCCCUCGGACGGAAGGGGCCGCAGGUUCGAAUCCUGCCACACCGACCA
rnacentral:tRNA from 1 species